rnacentral:rRNA from 1 species
UAGGGAAUCUUCCACAACGGACGCAAGUCUGAUGGAGCAACGCCGCGUGAGUGAAGAAGGCUUUCGGGUCGUAAAACUCUGUUAUUGAAGAAGAACGUGUGUGACAGUAACUGGUCAUGCAGUGACGGUAUUCAAUCAGAAAGUCACGGCUAACUACGUGCCAGCAGCCGCGGUAAUACGUAGGUGGCAAGCGUUGUCCGGAUUUAUUGGGCGUAAAGCGAGUGCAGGCGGUCUUUUAAGUCUGAUGUGAAAGCCUUCGGCUUAACCGAAGAAGGGCAUCGGAAACUGGGAGACUUGAGUGCAGAAGAGGAGAGUGGAACUCCAUGUGUAGCGGUGAAAUGCGUAGAUAUAUGGAAGAACACCAGUGGCGAAGGCGGCUCUCUGGUCUGUAACUGACGCUGAGGCUCGAAAGCGUGGGUAGCAAACAGGAUUAGAUACCCUGGUAGUCCACGCCGU